CAUUAAGUCUAACUACUUUUUGAAUUAACCUCUACCGUCGGAUCAUGCUGAGAUUAAAUCUCAGCCCUUUAAACUCAUAAAAUUAACCGCUUUGAUGGUGGUUCAGGGUAGUUAUUUGCGGUUUUCUCAGGAGGUGGUUUGCUCCACCUUUUUCUGCCCAUGAUCUCACAUCUUUGGUGGUAGAGAUUAGUAGUUUUGGGUCAGUUAUUUGGGGUUUUCUCAGGGGGUGGUUUUGCUCCAAAUUUUUCUGCCCAUGACCUCCAUGUCAGUGGUGGUUAUCUCCUCAGUUGAACACUCUCUCUCCUUCUCAGCGGGCAGUUGAAUAACCGUCCCUCCUCCAUUAUCACCCUCUCCUAUCCCCUAUUUGUAAGGGGUAUCACCCUUCAAAUCUCAUUCACCAUAUGACACCAACGACCACCCACCUGAGUCAAACUUCCAAUCACCGGCGCUGAUGUAUCAUCGCCACCGAAAUAUUAUUCCAUCUUCUGUGUAAAUUGCUUCUUCCCCUAUUCUCUGUAAAUUGCAACAUCUCAUCAUGGGGCUACUCCCUUUCAUACACUUUUUGGUUGGAUUCAGAUCUCAUCUUCAUUCACAACCAUCGAAGUUCUAUUAUUCAGUUCAAUCGCCAUUGCAAUCGUUGUUCUAAUGAGUUUGGGGAUUGCAGAUGGGAGUUCAAAAGCAACUUCAUGAGGUUGUUGGCUUGAUUCUCUUUGCUUUGGCCGACACAUUAUGGUAUCUUUCAUUGAGAUGGAUAUGAAUACAUCUAUGUUUAAGAAAAUCAACAAAAGUCAACCGUGGAGAGGGUCUUAUGUGGCAUUUCGGCUUUUUUAUGGGAUGCAAAAUAAACAAAACAAUAAAGCAGAUUCAAAAGAACCCGCUCCAUUAUUGCCUCUGAUCUCAAAAUCAUUCUAAGAAAUCUUCAAAUCCCUCUUGCUCUGAAGCUUCUCUCUGCUAUGCUCGUGUCGCUAAGUUUGGAGCCGCUUUCCGCCUCAUGAAACAAAUGGGAUGGGAGAAGGUGAAUGGCUUUGGAAGGAGAAACAAGGGAUCAAAGGUCAUGUUUGGGUUACUUAUUGUUAAAUGAUUGUUUCAAGUGUUAGGCUAAGAAUAUAUUCAAUGAAAUAUGUGAAACACGUUUCCGAAACAAAAAUGAGUUUGUGGUGCUGGUGAUGCGAAACCAACGGCUUCUCUAUCAUCACAAUAUCGAUUUUUUUCCUACACAAAAAAUGGUUCAUCCUAAGAUCUGCUUCUGUUUUUAAUCGAGGUAAGCUAUCAACUGAUUCCGAUUAGAUUUUUAUUCAUAUAUGUCAUUUAUGAAUGUAUAUGUUUAUGAUGUGUACUAUUUUAUAUGUGAUUAUUUAGUUGGAUCGUUGCUCCUUUGAUUGAGUUAUGUUUUAUCUCUAACCAGUCAAUCUGCUGAAAAUUUUAGCUUAUAGGGAAAUGGGUCAAAGGGUCAAAAGUUACCCCAAAUGUAUGUUUGGAGGUUAUGAUGAUAAAAGAUAACCCUUUUCCCAAUUCAAGGAACAAUUCGUGUUAAUAUUCAGGUUGUCCAAUUUGAAAAAGUAAGUGUAAUUCUGUAUUAAUUGUCCCAUAUGAUUUAUUACUUUAUAUUACCUGAUAAGUAGUAAGUUUUUGCAGGUUUGUAGUUCUUUAUAAUCCUCAUACUGCUACAUUUUUAAGGUGGGGGGAUGUAUCUUUAUUUGUCUUGGAAAUCUCUCAACUACCUAAGAUACCUUCUCUAUGGAAAGUUAGAUAUAAUAAAUGUUGGUAGACAUCUGAGCUUGUAGUUUUUUAUUUUAAUCAUAUCCUCAUUUCUAUGCUACAUUCGCUCUUUUAUUUUCGUUUCUCAAAAGGUUUCAACUUCUGCAUGUUUUUUUCAAAGGACUUUUCCACCUUGUAGUAAAGAUCAUAACAAAUUUCACUUUUGGGUUAGUCAAUGAAUUUUUAACAUGUAUUAACAUUUUGCCAUGUGCUAAAAUCUCAUAAUAUGCUAUGUCUUUAUAGGUACAACAUGUGCUACUGCUCUUACUCGAGCAAUAUUCAAUAAAGGUUGCAAGUCUAUAGUUGCUGUUGUAAACGUUAUGGAUUUAUGAGGUGGUAUUAGUGUGGCAGUUAAUGUUGCAAAAUCGAUUUGAAGAAUCAGGCAUUAAUGAUAAGUGCACUAGAAGAAAUAGCACAGGUCUUGUACUUUUAUUUGAUGAUGUUGCAUGCUUCUUGUGGUAUUUGGUAUUCUAUUUUGAAACAAACUUUUUAUUCAAACUUUGAAGAUGUACAAGUUUUCUAGACCUAUGUACUACAUUAU